rnacentral:lncRNA from 1 species
UUUAUUUCUCCAACAGAGUUCAUCCUACCAGUGGAUUGGACGGGUUUUUGUAGUAGACUGAUAUCUGCAUCCUCAGCUGAGUUGAGUCUACCUAUGGAUCGCGUGGAUUAUCCCCAACGGAGUAACGGACAUUCUCCAAAGCAGGGUUUAUCCUAUCUGAAGAUUGGUUGAGUCUUCCUCCCAGCGAAGUCGCUUUACCAUUCCCCAGCGCAGUUCCUGGAAUUCCCCGGUGUUGUCUCCGAAGGAGACGUGUGUUUAUGCAUUCAUCAUUUAGAUAAGCAUAGCAUAUUGCAU